CAGCAGGGUAGAGGGAUCAUGCACUGCAUACCUUUGAAGAAGAAGUGGUGAUGCAAAUUGGAAGAAUGUAAUCUGCCCAUGCUGGAACUCAGAGAUUAUCUGCAUAAGGAGCUUCUUUCCUUCAGUUUGCACCCAUGUUUGACAGCCUUUCUCAAGUGUCUUUUGCCUUGGUGCUAUGGUGGCAGGAGACUGACUGCAGAGAGCUGUGAGGUGGUGGCAGAGCAGCUCCAGAAGCAUCUGUGGGAGAGCCUAGCACAGCCCCAGUGAGCCUGAUCAGCCUCUGCUGUGGAGCUGAGUAAGAGGCAGCUGCAAACCUCCUAAAAACUUCCAGGCAGAAGUGAAUGGAAGAAAUUAUGCUCUUGUUACCUACAUUGGAGCUGCUGCAUCCCAGCAGAAAGAUUUCCUGCUGCCACCUCCAUCAUGCUCAAGCACCUAUAAAACCUAUUUUGAGGCUGUGUCCUGUACCAGGGCACUGCAAGUUAGCCUGAGCUGUUGUUGGUGGUGAGAAAUGUACCCUGCAGAGGCAGCAAAGCACAGGAUAUCAACCAUAGAUAUGCUGAAACCACAGAGCUCCAUUCAGGGAUCUCAGCCUUGUAAUCAGAUUGGUGAGGUUUGGGUUAAAUAAAAUACAAAAUGAAUACAAUAUAAUCUGUUUCCUCCCAUU